rnacentral:ncRNA from 1 species
CGUUUAGGGGUGCUACAACUGUUUGUGGCUGAGAUUACACCCUCGAACCUGAUCCGGAUAAUGCCGGCGGAGGAAACAAC